rnacentral:lncRNA from 1 species
AUUCUAUUUCUGCAUAGUUUGUUAAGUUGUCUGUACUGUUUUGGUAUCUCCGUAGGUGUUUGGACUGUAAGGCGAUCUGUUUACAGAAGUCGUAUUGGGUUCUAAGUUUGUUCACAUGACAAUGCGAUUACUCGUAGGCUUAGGCAGUUCUUCGUCCUGAAGUUCAUAUUAGAAUUCAUACAUGUUUUCACAAUCACAAUCUCGUGUAUACGAGUCGUAUAUAAUUAAGAUUGAAAAGGUAGUUGAAUGACUGAUUCUUCUUUAAGCUCACAUCCUUUUGGAGGAAAAAGAUGUUAAAGCGGAAUCAUCUAUUCUAAGCCUGUAGAACCUUGAUUAUAUAUCACUCUCAUGUAUACAUUCCUCAGUGAUAGAUCAACCGCAUGAAUCCUUGGAUUAAACUUGACGUACUGCACGAGUGGUACUUCGGGGAUUUCUUCGGAAAGAAAAUAACUAAGAGGUACUCCUGGCAUGAGUACUUCGGCGUUCUGAUGUGACGGUUUCGCUGGAAAAGUGAUCUAGAAGAAAGAGAUGUACGUAUGAAGCUGUUUUCGUGAAGAACAAAUUGAAUCGAGUCGUAUGAUACUGUCGGAAUCAUACUGAAACUUAAAGAAAUUAGACUUGAACAUAAGACGUUUACUGACAAAACACAACCGUGCAACCAUCAAUAGAGUUACAAUACUUUAGACUUACAACAAGUCCAUUGCUGCGAAUUAGGUAUACUACAAAAGACAAGUAUACGCAGCACGAGCAUCCUUAUACUGACAAGAUCUCGCAAAAAGGCAAGACUCUAGUUGCACUAGUUCUGGAUAGUUUAUAAGUCUGUUACAACAACACGCCUAAGUUACAUUAACGAGGGCUCCGUAGUAGGCUCUCCUGCAGCUGUGAUCCUGAGAAUCUUCCCAUCUGCACCCAAGUUCUUCGCUAUCGGGCAAUCCUUCUUGAAGUGUCCAAUUUCACCGCAUUGGUGACAUAUCUAGACAGCACCAACAUUGGUGGUGGAAGUGAGGUGUUUAGCCAAUGUUAUGAGGACACGAGUGCCUUCCUCAUUACUCCACUUUGAAAAUUGCUUCCUAAAGCGUUUGGCUUUAUAACUACUCUCGUGUGUAGGGUUGGUCCCGAUGAAAGGAACUUGAGUGAUGGGUCGUGCCGGUGCUCCACAUCUACGAGCAUGGUGCCCUAUUUUUAGGCAAUUGCAACACUGCAUCUCAUGGCAAGCCCCAUGAUGAUGAAAACUACACUUAUCAUACUUCGGGAUUUUUCCCUCGUAUGGCCUGCUCGGUACGGGAAUGGUAGGGGUUUCCACUUGUUGCUGUUGUAUGGCAAGUUUUUGGGAUUUCUUGCGUUCCUUCUGGUCUUGACGCUUCCGUUUCUUGUUCUUUGUUUUUCAGCUUUGCGAGCCUAUGGCUGUUACCGUUUGUUGACUUCCUGGAUUGAUACUACGAUUGGAAUCUUCAAUCCCAACAUCAGCAUUGCUUGUGCUGACAACGCUACGGUGCGCAAGGACAGCUGUCAUGGCAGCCAUCACGACAGUUGUAACUGCGGUUUGGAAGGUAGAGGCAUCCAUACGAAAGGUGGAGGUUUCGUUGUUCGACUGAUUGCUUCCAGAUGACGACAUGAUUCUGUAACAGGAAGAUAAGGAUUUUGUGAGUGAUUCUAGUUGACCCUAGGUGUACUGCGAUUGUUCAAGAAAAGUGUAACAGCCCGGAACCUCAGGUAUUAUUAAAAUUAUGUUGUUGGGGUGAUUUAAGAGGGGACUCGGCGAGUUGGUGCCUAGACUCGCCGAGUAGGAUCGCGGACUUGGUCGCGGGUCCGCGACUGGACUCGACGAGUCCAGAUAUGGACUCGGCGAGUCGACGCUGUUCAGCAGAAACCCUAACCGUUCAAGGUUGGGACGUAUAAAAGGGGUCCAUUGGCCGUCAUUGCUCGUUUUUGCCUUCUGAGAAGAACCCUAAAUCGAUUUAGUGCAGCAGGAGCAAGGAUCUUAGGCCAUUAUUGGUUAGAGAAGAGUGGGUGUGCAAGGAAGAGGGAGGAUUGGCUAAAAGAGCAGCAAGGGGGUCACAUUCUGAGGUUGGGAAUACAGAGAACACAUCAUCCAGGUAAGAAUUCGUGUUUGCUCUGUUAUUUUGAUGUAAUUAUGAAAUUAGGGUUUAUAGAACCCAUUUGGUGAUUUGUUGAAGUAAUGCCUUGUUACCCCACGAUUAUAGUCUUGUAUUAGGACCUUUAGAGGUCCAGAAGGUCCCAUGCAUAUGUACUUCGGGACGAGACAUAUCCCUGGAGGCAGUUACUCGUCUGCAUGGCAUGGACUCGCCGAGUUGUUCUUCAGACUCGGCGAGUAGCUUGAAGAUGUGCUGGGACUCGCCGAGUUGUUCAUCAGACUCGGCGAGUGGAGUCGGGGUGGCCCCGCGAUUCUUCCACGAGGACCUCGUCGAGUCAAGAGGUAUACUCGACGAGUAGAAAGGGAAUAUUCAGGAAUCUGUGAGGACGACUAGACUCGCCGAGUCGCCAUGGUACUCGCCGAGUCCAGUCGAGUUGACCGUUGACCGUUGACCAGAGUUGACCUAAGUCUGACUUCUUAGGGAUAGUCACACUUAGAUGAUAUGAGUGUUAAUGAGUUAUGUAAUGUUAUAGGAGGGUUGUAGCUCGUUGGUUUGUGCGCGAGUGAUUUCAGGAGUUGCUAGCUUUCAGCACUUACGAGGUGAGUCUUCUCACUAUACUGUACCCGGAAGGGUUUGACUGUGUGACCGGAAGGUCGAAUAUGUUAUAUGGAUAUAUAUGCUAUAAGUGGUAAGUUAAGUGUUAUAUGGAUAUGUAUGCUAUAAGUGGUAAGUUAAGUGUUAUAUGGAUAUGUAUGCUAUAUGUGGUAAGUUAAGUGUUAUAUGUGCUAUGUAUGAUAUGUGGGCCGGAAGGCAAUAUGUUAUGGGCCGGAAGGCGAUUAUGUUAUGGGCCGGAAGGCGUUGUAAUGAGGACCGGAAGGUCAGGGCCUGGAAAGGCGUAUGUGCGUAAGUGUAUAUUGGGGAACUCACUAAGCAUUUAUGCUUACAGUUGUUGUGCAUGUAUUUCAGGUACUAGCGAGGACCGUGGGAAGGCGCCGGCAUGAUCGAUACACACUGAAGAUUGUUUUAUGAUCUUGGGAGUUUGAAUAAUUGUAUUGACCGAAUAAUUAAACUGUUUAUGCCUUGUUUUUAAUGGAAAUAAUUAUGUUUUAAAAAUGAAAAAUUUGUUUGAAAAAUUUGAGUUGUUACAAUUGGUAUCAGAGCCUUGGUUUGAGGGAUUCGGGUGCACCUUCGGGGGUAACUGAACUCAAACCGAGGAUUUGAGAAAACUUUUCAAAUAAAGGCAUAAACUUUUGUAAAUGGUUUUGUGGUAAGCAAGAAAGAAGCAGUGUGUACGAUCAGUCAGCGCCCGAACGGUAAAGAUCCCCAAAAUACCUUACAAUAUUAUAUGAUAUGAAUUGUUAUGCAUGCUAGAAGACUAGGUAUUCAUGAUAGGACUAGAGUGGCCUGAUUUGUGAUGCCUUAGUCUAGGGAAGUUGCCUAUAUGAGAUGCUUUGCUAGUAUGCGGGUAGAUAGAGCGUAUCAGAAGUAGAGUACUCACUAUCUGGAGUUUGGGGAGGAGGACUUGGGAUGAACAUUGAUGCGGUGUGGUCGGUAGUAUUGGGCCCGUACUACCGAGGACACCGGGUCAGUGGGAGGCCCAAGUAAGAAUCCCUGGAUAUCUGGGACUGAGUAGGGUUGCGUGUCGAGUACGAUUAUACUCGGUAGAAUCUCUGAUAGUUUUAUGUUGUAUUUCAGAGAUAUCAUGGUUAGACCGCGGCACGGGGCAAGUACGAGCGGUGUGAGUGACGAGGAUAUUCGUCAGAUGAUCCACGAGGAGGUGGCGGCGGCGAUCCGGGCUGAGAUCCCGGAGAUGUUUGGGUCUAUCAAGACCACCCUGAUGGAGACGUUCGACGAGCGGUACGCCGCAUUGACUGAGGCUGCAACCGCUGCAGCUACCGCAGCUGUGGCCGCUGCUAGGCCACAGGGGGGUGAUUCAUUGCUGUUCCGAGAGUUCAGCAACACGAAGCCACCAGAGUUCGAUGGGACGCAGGAUCCGAUUGCUGCGAUGAGGUGGAUCGCAGAUAUAGAGGGGUGCUUCUAUACUUGUUCAUGCCCGGAGCACCUGAGGGUACGGUUCGCUUUGAACCAGCUCCGUCUGGGAGCGAAGGACUGGUGGAAGUUCGUGACAGCGAAUUUCACUUUGGCAGAGACUACAGCGGUGACAUGGGAGGGGUUUACUGCCAUGUUCAGGGAUGAGUACGUUCCCCCGGUGGAGAGGGAACGAUUGGUGCAGGAGUUCUUAACCCUCAAGCAGGGUACCGAUUCUGUUGCGGUGAUUACACGGAAGUUUCAUGAGAGGGCGAUGUUUUGCCCUGAGCUGGUGUCCUCAGAGCAGGCUCGGAUGAGCCGAUACUUGGGUGUCUUGAGGAGGGAUAUUCGGGAGUUUGUGUCAAACUCCACUUACCAUACUUUUGCUGAGCUUCAGGCGAAUGCCAGGAAGCGCGAGAUCGAGUUGGAGACCCAGGCUAGGGAGGAGGCCGAGUCUCAGCGGGUGGAUCGGCGACCGGCUCAGUUCCAGCCGGCAGCCAAGCGGACCAAGUCCGCUGAUUCGAGGACAGGAGGUUCGAAGGGUCGCACUUGCGGGAAGUGCGGCAAGAGUCAUGAUGGAGUAUGUCGAUCUGGUGCUUGCUACAAGUGUGGCAAGGAGGGGCACAUUGCUAGGGAGUGCCCCAAGGGAUUUUCGGUUUGCUUUCAUUGCAACCAGACUGGCCAUAGGAAGGCCGAGUGCCCUCAGCUUCUUCAGGGAUCUGCACCUGCUGCCGGAGUUCCUGCGACUCGACCGGUGAAGGCCGAGGCCCCGAGGGCUCGGGGAAGAGCCUUUCAGCUGACAGCGGAAGAGGUCCGCGCUGCGCCCGAUGUUGUGGCAGGUAUGUUGUAAUUCAUGUAAUUAUUUUAAUGUCGAUAUGUUAUGCUUAUGUUAUUAUGCGCGUAGGUACUUUCCUUGUGAACUCUGUGCCUGCCUUAGUGUUAUUUGACUCGGGUGCGAGUAGGUCCUUUGUGUCCUUGGCCUUUAGUCAGCAUAUUGGCGUUAGUCGUGAGUCGUUGAGUCGACCUUUGAGAGUCUCUAUAGCUGACGAGAAGGUGAUUUGUGCUACGGAGGUUCUUCGGGGAUGUGUACUAGAGAUUUUCGGGGUUGGAUUCCCGAUUGAUCUGAUUCCUAUCGCGAUGGGGGAUGUCUGUGUCAUCGUGGGCAUGGACUGGUUGAGCCGGUUCGGCGCUGUCAUCGACUGUGAGCGUCAGUUGGUGACUAUACGAGACCCAAGUGGGGGAGUUCUUUCGGUAUACGGCGAGGGUACCCGUUCGGGAUCAGCUUUUUGUUCGGCCGCUAGGGCGAGGCAGUGUCUACGGCAGGGCUGUAAGGGUUUCGUGGCGUAUGUGAUGGAUACGCGGGAGGUUUCUGAGAAACCGAAGUCAGUUGAGGAAGUUCCGGUGGUGCGCGAGUUUUCAGAUGUCUUUCCCGAGGAGUUGCCGGGAGUACCGCCUGUGAGGCAAGUAGAGUUUAGUAUCGAUCUGGUUCCGGGGGCAGCGCCUAUUGCUAAAGUGCCCUAUCGUCUUGCACCUCCAGAGAUGCAAGAGUUGUCCUCGCAACUCCAGGAGUUGCUGGGAAAGGGAUUCAUUCGGCCGAGCAGCUCGCCAUGGGGAGCACCUAUUCUGUUCGUCAAGAAGAAGGAUGGUUCACACCGGAUGUGCAUUGAUUACCGGGAGUUGAACAAGCUAACGGUCAAGAACCGUUACCCGUUGCCGAGGAUCGAUGAUUUAUUCGAUCAGUUGCAGGGAGCAUCUUGGUUUUCCAAGAUCGAUCUGAGGUCAGGAUACCAUCAGGUGAGAGUACGGGAUGAGGACGUCCAGAAGACAGCGUUUAGGACGCGAUAUGGGCAUUAUGAGUUUGUGGUGAUGCCUUUUGGACUCACCAAUGCCCCGGCUGUGUUCAUGGAUCUCAUGAACAGGGUAUGCAGGCCGAUGUUGGAUCGGUCAGUGAUUGUAUUUAUCGACGACAUUCUGGUGUAUUCGAGAUCUAGAGAGCAGCAUGAGGAGCAUUUGAGGGAGGUCCUUGAGGUAUUGAGGUCGGAGAAGCUUUAUGCAAAGUUCUCCAAAUGUGACUUCUGGUUGCGGGAGGUCCAGUUUCUAGGACAUGUGGUUAAUCAGAAAGGGAUAUUGGUCGAUCCGGCCAAGGUUGAGGCGGUGAUGAGUUGGGAGGUGCCGAAGUCACCCUCUGAGAUCAGAAGUUUCCUUGGGUUGGCAGGGUAUUAUCGGAGAUUUAUCAAGGAUUUCUCCAAGAUCGCAGUGCCACUCACCAGAUUGACCCGGAAGGGUGUUGCAUUCUCAUGGGGGCCCGAGCAGCAGACCUCCUUUGAGACACUUCGCCAGAGAUUGUGCGAAGCCCCGGUAUUAGCUCUUCCAGAAGGGAUGGAAGAUUUCGUGGUAUAUUGCGACGCAUCGAUUUCGGGAUUGGGUGCAGUGUUAAUGCAGAGGGGUCAUGUGAUAGCUUAUGCGUCGAGGCAGCUGAAGCCUCAUGAGGCGAGAUAUCCCACGCAUGAUUUAGAGUUGGGGGCAGUAGUGUUCGCUCUCAAGAUUUGGCGUCACUACUUGUAUGGGGUUCGAUGUACGAUAUACACGGACCAUAAGAGUUUGAAGUAUUUGAUGGAUCAACCCAACCUAAAUAUGCGUCAGAGGAGGUGGUUGGAUGUGGUCAAGGAUUAUGAUUGUGAGAUCCUGUACCACCCAGGCAAGGCUAAUGUGGUAGCCGAUGCAUUGAGCCGCAGGGCGGAGAGCACUCCAUUGCGAGACGUAUGCUUGAGACUGACUGUGAUGACUCCAGUAUUGGACGCUAUUCGUGGGGCCCAGGCGGAGGCUGUGCGACCAGAAAUGCAGAAGAAAGAGCGGGUUGUGGGGUUAAUCUCAGAGUUUGUCAAGGAUAGUCGAGGCCUUAUGACGUUUCAGGGUCGGAUUUGGGUACCGUUCGUGGGCGGUACGCGUAUUACGUUGAUGGAAGAGGCUCAUAGAUCGAAAUUCUCGAUCCAUCCCGGUGCUACAAAGAUGUAUUUGGAUUUAAGGAAGGAAUAUUGGUGGCCCUGUAUGAAGAGGGACGUGGCAUGGUUCGUUGAGAGGUGCUUGACCUGCCGUAGGGUUAAGGCUGAGCACCAGAGACCGCAUGGCAAGUUACAGCCAUUGGAGAUCCCCGAGUGGAAGUGGGAACAGAUUACUAUGGAUUUUAUCACCAAAUUGCCGAGGACUGCUAGGGGAGUUGACGCAAUUUGGGUGAUCGUGGAUAGGUUGACAAAGAGUGCACACUUCCUUGCCAUCAGUGAGAGUUCUUCGGCGGAGAAAUUGGCGGAGAUAUACGUGAGAGAGGUGGUAUCUCGGCACGGGGUGCCGAUCUCGAUUGUGUCAGACCGUGAUGUGCGCUUUACUUCCAGAUUCUGGAAGAAAUUCCAUGAGGAGCUGGGUACUAAAUUGCAUUUUAGUACCGCAUACCAUCCCCAGACAGACGGUCAGAGCGAGCGGACAAUUCAGACACUGGAGGACAUGCUCCGAGCGUGUGUGUUAGACUUCGGGGGUAGUUGGGAUGCGUAUUUACCAUUGGCAGAGUUUUCCUACAACAACAGCCAUCAUUCGAGCAUUGGUAUGCCGCCUUUCGAGCUGUUGUAUGGUAGGAGGUGUCGGACUCCCAUUUGCUGGGGAGAGGUGGGACAGAGAGUGAUGGGCAGCACGGAGAUCAUACUCCAGACGACAGAGCAGAUUCAACAAGUGAGACAAAGAUUAUUGACUGCCCAGAGCCGACAGAAGAGUUAUGCAGACAGGCGCCGAUCCGAGCUUGAAUUUCAAGUCGGCGACUUCGUUCUCCUGAAGGUCUCUCCUUGGAAAGGAGUGAUUCGGUUCAGGAAGAGAGGCAAGUUGGGGCCCCGGUAUAUUGGGCCAUUUCGUGUGAUUGCAAGGAUAGGUCGGGUAGCCUACCGGUUGGAGUUGCCAGCGGAGUUGGGUCAGAUCCAUGACACUUUUCAUGUGUCGCAGUUGAGGAAGUGCAUAGCCGAUGAGUCGGCAGUGGUUCCAUUGGAGGAUAUUCAGGUGGAUGCGAGCCUGAAUUACGCGGAGAGACCAGUGGCUAUCAGGGAUCGGAAGAUCAAGGUUCUGAGGAACAAGGAAGUACCUCUGGUGUUGGUUCAAUGGCAACACCGUAAGGGAUCAGAAAUGACUUGGGAACCGGAGCGCGAAAUGCGGGAGCAGCAUCCGGAACUAUUUGCAGAAUGAGACUUCGAGGGCGAAGUCUAAUCCAAGUGGGGGAGAAUUGUAACAGCCCGGAAUCUCAGGUAUUAUUAAAAUUAUGUUUUUGGGGUGAUUUAAGAGGGGACUCGGCGAGUUGGAGCCUAGACUCGCCGAGUAGGAUCGCGGACUUGGUCGCGGGUCCGCGACUGGACUCGACGAGUCCAGAUAUGGACUCGGCGAGUCGACGCUGUUCAGCAGAAACCCUAACCGUUCAGUUUGGAUCGUAUUUAACGCCUCUUAGGCCGUCAUUUUCAGUCUUUUGGUCAAUUGAGAGGAACCCUAAUCGCUGUGGACGCCUAGAGCAAGGGAGAAAGCUUUGGAACUUGGAAGAAUUGGUUAGGCAAGAAGAAGAGGGAUUUGGCUAAAGGAAUAUCAAGGAGGAUUGAGUCCUGAGAUUUGGGGGACACAGAGAGUGCGUUUUCAGGUAAUACUCGGACCAAAUCUGUUAUUUUGAUGUAUUUAUGAAAUUAGGGUUUAUAGAACCCAUUUAGUGAUUUGAUGAAGUAAUGCCUUGUUACCCCACGAUUAUAGUCUUGUAUUAGGACCUUUAGAGGUCCAGAAGGUCCCAUGCAUGUGUACUUCGGGACGAGACCUAUCUCAGGAAGCAGUUACUCGUCUGCAUGGCAUGGACUCGCCGAGUUGUUCUUCAGACUCGGCGAGUAGCUUGAAGAUGUGCUGGGACUCGCCGAGUUGUUCAUCAGACUCGGCGAGUGGAGUCGGGGUGGCCCCGCGAUUCUUCCACGAGGACCUCGUCGAGUCAAGAGGUAUACUCGACGAGUAGAAAGGGAAUAUUCAGGAAUUUGUGAGGACGACUAGACUCGCCGAGUCGCCAUGGUACUCGCCGAGUCCAGUCGAGUUGACCGUUGACCGUUGACCAGAGUUGACCUAAGUCUGACUUCUUAGGGAUAGUCACACUUAGAUGAUAUGAGUGUUAAUGAGUUAUGUAAUGUUAUAGGAGGGUUGUAGCUCGUUGGUUUGUGCGCGAGUGAUUUCAGGAGUUGCUAGCUUUCAGCACUUACGAGGUGAGUCUUCUCACUAUACUGUACCCGGAAGGGUUUGACUGUGUGACCGGAAGGUCAAGUAUGUUAUGUAUUAUGUUUAUAUGCUAUAAGUGGUAAGUUAAGUGUUAUAUGGAUAUGUAUGCUAUAAGUGGUAAGUUAAGUGUUAUAUGGAUAUGUAUGCUAUAUGUGGUAAGUUAAGUGUUAUAUGUGCUAUGUAUGAUAUGUGGGCCGGAAGGCAAUAUGUUAUGGGCCGGAAGGCGAUUAUGUUAUGGGCCGGAAGGCGUUGUAAUGAGGACCAGAAGGUCAGGGCCUGGAAAGGCGUAUGUGUGUAAGUGUAUAUUGGGGAACUCACUAAGCAUUUAUGCUUACAGUUGUUGUGUAUGUAUGUAUUUCAGGUACUAGCGAGGACCGUGGGAAGGCGCCGGCAUGAUCGAUACACACUGAAGAAUUUUUCAUGAUCUUGGGAGUUUGAAUAAAUGUAUUGACCGAAUGAUUAAACUGUUUAUGUCUUGUUUUAAUGGAAAUAAUUAUGUUUUUAAAAUGAAAAAUUUAUUCGAAAAUUUGAGUUGUUACAAAAAGGUUAAGAGUAUGUUCUCGAAAGGUUGACCUACAUUCCUAUGAUGCAGUCGUAGUACAGAAUGGAAGUAUGUUCGCGAAGGUUCACCUACAUCCCUUUGUCAGUCUUGCUUGUGUUGCCUGAGUUGAUGUGUGUUAGGAAAGUUGAAACAGCAGCUGCUACUGCAGCUUGUAAUGUAGCGACAUCGAUAUGGAGGAUAGGGGUUUCGUUGCUCGACUGAUUGUUUCUGGAUGACGACAUGAUUCUGUUAACACGAAAGAUAAGGGUUUUGUGAACGAUUUUGGGUGACCCUAGAUGUACUUCGAUUGUUCAAGUAAAGAGUAAGAGUAUGUUCUCGACAGUUUGACCUACAUCCCUAUGAUGUAGUCCUAGUACGGAUUGGAAGUAUGUUCGUGAAGGUUUGACCUACAUCCCUAUGACGCAGUCCUAGUAUAGAAUGGAAGUAAGUUCGUAGAAUGGUCUCAAGACGUUUGUCGUUUAAGCCGAGGUAUCGUUGGUUGGUGAAUAACAUGAUCCAACCAGUAAAAGAGACUUGGGAAUGUCUCCGGAGCUAACUUGCUAUAGUCCAAUGACUUGACUAAAGCAUGUUUCAGGUAUCCUCAAAUGAAAGUAUGAUGAGAGUACUUGAAUAAAGAAUGACACAGAAGUUAGCCAACUGUCAAUAUCUUUGAUAUUCAUGACGUACAAUUUCGGGAAAAUGACCUUGUAAAAAGGCCUUACAUCAUAUCCAGAGAAGAUAGUUCUUGACAUCAUAAAGGCCUAACUAAAGUAGUUACAGUACAAGAUAGUUUUAUAGAAAAUGCCACAUCGGGCAUAGACAGAAAAACGAUUCCUUUUUAACAAGGAAAAUAAAGUAAAGAAUCUACUACUAGCGACGGUUAUCCCUCUGGUGAACUCUCAGUUCAUCCAGUUGACGUUCCACAUCAAGUAGGUGUCUUUCGUACACUCUUUGGCGUACUCGGAGUUCUAUGACUUCGGCUCGUGAUUCAGCCAGUGCUUGCAGCAAGGUUUCAUGGUUCCUCUUAGAUCUAUCACGAGCAUCUUCUAGACGAAUGGUGCGGAGGGUAUGCAUUCUCGCAUCGGCGACAACUUCCGUGAUCUGAUGUAGGGCUGUCCUGCCUUGAAUAUCAUUUCGGGCCACUCUACGGACCAAGAUUGGCAAGAUUCUGUCUGCUGAGUGCCCAUUGCUCAGGUCAUAAAAGCUUCGGUCACCAUUAAAUGGCAUGGGUUGAUCUUUUCCUUGGCUCCAUGUUUCCAAGCAUUCCACCCACUCAGGCGUCGGCCCAUGAAAAGUCGGACGAGGGUUAGGAAUUGGAAAGGGAGCUGCCAGGGGUAGGUUCUCAACCUUUGGUUUGGAGUUAGCAUCGUCCGAAAGGUCUUCAUCAUGGUGAUCAUUCACAGGGAUAGGAUGAUCAUUCUCUAGUUCUGCUUCAAACCAUCCAGCAAUGACUUCAUUCGGAAGGUAUUAGUUGUCGUGGGGAUGGAGUCCAGCCAUGUUAUCUACGUGAGCAUUUGGGGUAAGAAAUAAUUAUUAGACGAACUAUCUAGGUAAUUAUUUAGAAAAUCUUCAUUAGUUACAUCACUAUUUGUGAAGUGCAUACCAGUUAUAUGUAAUCGAAACAGGAUAGACCUUCGAAUAAGUGACCUUAACUCCAAAUUCACACAAAAUAGGGGUAAAGCAAAAUUUUCACAGAUUCUAAGUCGAUAACAUCCUAGUUACAUAUGACUUUAGUGUAUCCACUAAGCAACUAUCAACUUAGUAAUGAAGAUCCCGUUUAGUUCUCAAGUAUAAAGUACUUAUAGUAACACCAAAUACUCCUAUAGUAUUUUAUGUUUAAUGUUAUGUUCUACUGUUUUCAUUGUGGUAUUGUUGGUAAGAUUUUAGACUUCUUGCAACCACACAACUACACAUAGGCACAUGCUAGUCAACCUUUGGAUAAUAUAGUUGUUCAGGCUAUAUCUUCCCAGUUUUGACCAUAUGUCUCUAAGUCCACCUGUGCUGCCCAACAAUCGUAAUUCUAUUGUACUGUCCUAGUGACACUGAUUUUAGUAUGAAUGCAGGCACGUAUACUUAAUUAAAUAUUUUAUUAUUUAAAGUAUAAACUCUUCGUCAGAGUAUUUUAAUCCCAAUGUAUUUAUAGUUAGUAUAUCUUUUAUGGGUUGAUAUACGCAAUUCACUAUAAACAAUGCUCUGAUACCAAUCUGUCACACCCCAAAACCAAGAAUGGCGGAAACGUUCUGGGGCGGAGGACGUCAUGUAAAGUAUCACAACACAAUAUAAGAGUAAAUAAGCAAACAACAUCAUCCAUUGCAUUAAAUUUAUAAUUUUAAUACAAGUGUGUGCCGUACAGUUAUAGACACCAAAAAGUAAAUCAAAAUAAUAAGAUGAGUCUUGGAUGACGAACUGAUCCAAGUAAGAAAGAUGUACCCUACUCGUUUAGCUCAUGAAAGCUAUGGGCAUAUUGGUCCUAUCUGAAGGGUAUCAUUACGGAAUCGAAGUGUCCACAUCGAGUUCGGAAGAUAGUCUUCCGGACGUCCUUCCCUAACACUUGAACUGGUGAUAUUCGGAUCUCAGAUCUAUUUCUGAAAGAAAUUCUUUCCUUGCGUUUGCUCAACCAAUUCAUCUAUGCGAGGCAGAGACAACGAUUUCUAAUGAAAAAUCUUGAUGGAGUACUCGAUAGCCGAGGUACAUACGAUGCAAUCCGUCGAUCUCUAGAAGAAUAUGACCAGGGUUCUCCAGGGUGAGAUGUCUAGUCUUAUAAUUCUAUUUCUGCGUAGUUUGUUAAGUUGUAUGUACUAUUCUGGUAUCUCCGUAGGUGUUUAGACUGUAGGGCGAUCUGUUUACAGAAGUCGUAUUGGGUUCUAAGUUUGUUCACAUGACGAUGCGAUUACUCGUAGGCUUAGGCAUUUCUCCGUCCUGAAGUUCAUAUUAGAAUUCAUACAUGUUUUCACAAUCACAAUCUGGUGUAUACGGCUCGUAUAUAAUUAAGAUUGAAAAGGUAGUUGAAUGACUGAUUCUUCUUUAAGCUCACAUCCUUUUGAGGAAAAAGACGUUAAAGUGGAAUCAUCUAUUCUAAACCUGUAGAACCUUGAUUAUAUAUCACUCUCAUGUAUACAUUCCUCAAUGAUAGAUCAACCAUAUGAAUC